UAGGGAAUCUUCGGCAAUGGGGGGAACCCUGACCGAGCAACGCCGCGUGAGUGAAGAAGGUUUUCGGAUCGUAAAGCUCUGUUGUUAAGGAAGAACGAGUGUGAGAAUGGAAAGUUCAUGCUGUGACGGUACUUAACCAGAAAGGGACGGCUAACUACGUGCCAGCAGCCGCGGUAAUACGUAGGUCCCGAGCGUUGUCCGGAUUUAUUGGGCGUAAAGCGAGCGCAGGCGGUUAGAAAAGUCUGAAGUGAAAGGCAGUGGCUCAACCAUUGUAGGCUUUGGAAACUGUUUAACUUGAGUGCAGAAGGGGAGAGUGGAAUUCCAUGUGUAGCGGUGAAAUGCGUAGAUAUAUGGAGGAACCCCGGUGGCGAAAGCGGCUCUCUGGUCUGUAACUGACGCUGAGGCUCGAAAGCGUGGGGAGCGAACAGG
rnacentral:rRNA from 1 species